GUGGGGAAUCUUGCGCAAUGGGCGAAAGCCUGACGCAGCCAUGCCGCGUGAAUGAUGAAGGUCUUAGGAUUGUAAAAUUCUUUCACCGGGGACGAUAAUGACGGUACCCGGAGAAGAAGCUCCGGCUAACUUCGUGCCAGCAGCCGCGGUAAUACGACGGGGGCUAGCGUUGCUCGGAAUUACUGGGCGUAAAGGGCGCGUAGGCGGACAGCUUAGUCAGAGGUGAAAGCCCAGGGCUCAACCUUGGAAUUGCCUUUGAUACUGGCUGUCUUGAGUUUGGGAGAGGUGAGUGGAACUCCGAGUGUAGAGGUGAAAUUCGUAGAUAUUCGGAAGAACACCAGUGGCGAAGGCGACUCACUGGCCCAAUACUGACGCUGAGGCGCGAAAGCGUGGGGAGCAAACAGGAUUAGAAACCCGAGUAGUCC
rnacentral:rRNA from 1 species